rnacentral:rRNA from 1 species
CCCUUAGAUGUCCUGGGCCGCACGCGCGCUACACUGAUGCAUUCAACGAGUUUUACCUUGGCCGAGAGGCCUGGGCAAUCUUUUAAACCUGCAUUGUGAUAGGGAUAGAUUAUUGAAAUUAUUAAUCUUGAACGAGGAAUUCCUAGUAAACGCAGAUCACCAAUCUGCAUUGAUUACGUCCCUGCCCUUUGUACACACCGCCCGUCGCACCUACCGAUUGGAUGGUCCGGUGAAGCCUCGGGAUUGUGGUUCUUGCCGCUUUAUUGUGGCGUGACCGCGAGAACUUGUCUAAACCUUAUCAUCUAGAGGAAGGUGAAGUCGUAACA